GUAGGUGGCAAGCGUUGUCCGGAUUUACUGGGCGUAAAGAGCGCGCAGGCGGUCGAUUUAGUCGUGUGUGAAAGCCCCCGGCUCAACUGGGGAGGGUCACGCGAUACUGAUCGACUUGAAGGCAGGAGAGGGUAGUGGAAUUCCCGGUGUAGUGGUGAAAUGCGUAGGUAUCGGGAGGAACACCAGUGGCGAAGGCGACUACCUGGCCUGUUCUUGACGCUGAGGCGCGAAAGCUAGGGGAGCAAACGGGAUUAGAUACCCCGGUAGUCCUAGCCGUAAACGAUGGACACUAGGUGUUGGUGGUAUCAACCCCGCCAGUGCCGAAGCUAACGCAUUAAGUGUCCCGCCUGGGGAGUACGGCCGCAAGGCUA
rnacentral:rRNA from 1 species